UACGUAGGGAGCGAGCGUUGUCCGGAAUUACUGGGCGUAAAGGGUGCGUAGGCGGCUUGGCAAGUCAGAUGUGAAAUCCCCGGGCUUAACUCGGGGGGUGCAUUUGAAACUGCUGAGCUUGAGUGCAGGAGAGGAAAGCGGAAUUCCUAGUGUAGCGGUGAAAUGCGUAGAUAUUAGGAGGAACACCAGUGGCGAAGGCGGCUUUCUGGACUGUAACUGACGCUGAUGCACGAAAGCGUGGGGAGCAAACAGG
rnacentral:rRNA from 1 species